UUGUUGACACGCGUAGGCACUUGAGAGAUCAGAGGAGGUGUGUUCCUUCUUCGUCGUUUAUCUCUUCUCUCUCUCGCGCGAAAGUUCUCUCCCGGUUGGAACCUCCAAUCCGACGACAGCACGAAGAGACGAGAUGAAGCUUCGGAGGAGACGAGAAGCUUCGGAGGAGAGCUGAGAUGAAGCUGCGGAGGAGAGAGCUUCCGGUAGUGAAAGCGGGUUGGAUUGUAUCGAUGGUGAUCCUGUUAAAGAUUUAAUGUUGAAGCAAGUUGGCAAUUAAAACGAGUGGCCUGUUGUUGUUCAAUUAAAAUUAAGUUGAAACCGUGUGGCCUGUUCUUGUUCUUGUUGUUCUGUUAUUGUUGUUCUGUUAUAUAAGCAAACGUUGUUGUUCUGUUCUUGUUCUUGUUGUUCUUAAUUUAGGGUUCUUUUAUAUGUUU